GUGGGAUCAGAACAGCUCCAGGUGGGAUCAGAGCAGCUCCAGGGGGAUCAGAGCAGCUCCAGGGGGAUCAGAGCAGCUCCGGGUGGGAUCAGAGCAGCUCCGGGUGGGAUCAGAGCAGCUCCAGGGGGAUCAGAGCAGUUCUGGGUGGGAUCA